rnacentral:lncRNA from 1 species
GAGGAUAAGAACUCAUGAUUAAGAGCAGCAUUAUAAUCGUCAAGGUAGAGGUUUUUGGUGGACACCACCCUAAGAACCCCCGCUUAGAGUAUCUUUAUCGGAGUCUAUUAGUUAAGUUUCUUAGUAUUAAUAGCAAUUAAAAAAAGAAAAUUAUGAUUAAUGGGAAGGAACGUUUCUUAAUUAGACACAAUAAAACCAUGUUUAACGUUGGUCCUUAAGGGGGGGUUUUAACAUUAACUGCAUUUAAAAAAAAAGAAAAACAUGAUAUUAAUCAAGGGCCGGCUCUUAAUUAAGGAAAAGAAGAAGCGGGUCUUGAUAGACACGCGUCAAAAGAACAAGAGCCGUCCGUGUUUUGUCCUCUCUGUCUCGCCUUCGACGUUUCACUUUUUGCUCAAACUCUCUCUCUCUGGCUCUCUUUACCGGCGACUCUUGUCAUCUCCGUCUCUCUCUUUCACUCCGCCUCUCUCUUUCCGUCGAUGUGAUUGACGACGAACCGCUACUAUCUCUCUCUCUCUCUCUCUCUCUCUCUCGGCGGCUCUCAUCGUCUCUGGCUCGGUGGCUCUCAUCGAGAAGGGGAAACGGCGACGUCUCUGUCGGUGGCUCGCUUCGAGGUCGAAUCACUCCGCCUCUCUCUCUCCGUCGAUCUGAUUGACGAAGAAAGCUUUCUCUCUCUCUAUCUCUCUUGGCGGCUCUCAUUGUCUCUGUCUCGGUGGGUCUCUUGGAGUUGUGAUAACGGCGACCUCUCUCAAUCUGGCUCUCGUCGACGGCGGGUCACUCCUCUCUCUCUC